GGCUCUGUAGCUUAAUGGAUAGAGCAUCUGACUACGGAUCAGAAGGUUGGAGGUUCGAGUCCUCCCAGAGUCA
rnacentral:tRNA from 1 species